GGAAGAAAGGGAGGCUCUUCGGAGCUUUCGCUGAAGGAGGGGCUUGCGUCUGAUUAGCUAGUUGGAGGGGUAACGGCCCACCAAGGCGACGAUCAGUAGCCGGUCUGAGAGGAUGAACGGCCACAUUGGGACUGAGACACGGCCCAGACUCCUACGGGAGGCAGCAGUGGGGAAUCUUCCGCAAUGGACGAAAGUCUGACGGAGCAACGCCGCGUGAACGAUGACGGCCUUCGGGUUGUAAAGUUCUGUUAUACGGGACGAAUGGCGUAGCGGUCAAUACCCGUUACGAGUGACGGUACCGUAAGAGAAAGCCACGGCUAACUACGUG
rnacentral:rRNA from 1 species